rnacentral:rRNA from 1 species
GUGAGGAAUAUUGGUCAAUGGACGGAAGUCUGAACCAGCCAAGUAGCGUGCAGGAUGACGGCCCUAUGGGUUGUAAACUGCUUUUAUGCGGGGGUAAAGUGAGUGACGUGUCAUUCAUUGCAAGUACCGCAAGAAUAAGGACCGGCUAAUUCCGUGCCAGCAGCCGCGGUAAUACGGAAGGUCCUGGUGUUAUCCGGAUUUAUUGGGUUUAAAGGGAGCGUAGGCCGUCAGGCAAGCGUGUUGUGAAAUGUCGUGGCUCAACCAUGGACUUGCAGCGCGAACUGCCCGACUUGAGUGCGCAGAAAGCAGGCGGAAUUUGUGGUGUAGCGGUGAAAUGCUUAGAUAUCACGAAGAACCCCGAUUGCGAAGGCAGCCUGCUGUAGCGCUACUGACGCUGAAGCUCGAAAGUGCGGGUAUCGAACAGGAUUAGAAACCCUGGUAGUCC